GCCCGCAUAGCUCAGUUGGUAGAGCGCAUCCAUGGUAAGGAUGAGGUCGCCAGUUCAAUCCUGGCUGCGGGCUCCA
rnacentral:tRNA from 1 species